rnacentral:rRNA from 1 species
UACGGGGGGAGCAAGCGUUGUUCGGAUUUACUGGGCGUAAAGGGCGGGUAGGCGGCCACCGCAAGUCAGUUGUGAAAUCUCCGGGCUUAACCCGGAAAGGUCAACUGAUACUGCGGGGCUAGAGUGCAGAAGGGGCAACUGGAAUUCUCGGUGUAGCGGUGAAAUGCGCAGAUAUCUGGAGGAACACCGGUGGCGAAGGCGGCAUCCUGGACCAACACUGACACUGAGGAGCGAAAGCCAGGGGAGCAAACGGG